rnacentral:lncRNA from 1 species
CAAGUGAUUCUCUUGCGUCAGACUCCCAAGUACCUGGGACUAUAGGCACGUGCCACUGUGCCUGGCAAAUUUUUGUAUUUUUAGUAGAGAUGGGGUUUCACCAUGUUGGCCAGGCUGGUUUCAAACUCCUGACCUCAGGUGAUCCACCCACCUUGUUCUCCCAAAGUGCUAGGAUUACAAGUGUGAGCCAUGGCACCCGGCCCACUUUGCAUAUUUUGACUCAUUUAAGAUUUAAAACCCUACGAGGUAGGUACUGUUAUAAUUACCCUUAUUUUACAGAUAAGGAAAUGGAAGCUGAGAGUUUAAGUGACUUGCCCAUGGCCACAUAGCUGGGGAAGAGACCAAGGGCCAGAGAGGUUCCACAAUUACCUCUUAUCAAAGAGCUAUUCUACAACUAAAUCUGGAAGCAGAUCCAGACUCCAGCUUCUCCUGCCUUAUACCUGCAGGCAUCAGAACCCCCGGAGGGCUUCUUAAAACAUAUGGAGCCCCAGAGUUUCUGGUUCAGUCAGUAUGAGAUCAGGCCAGAGAAUCUGCAUUUCUGAUCGGUACACAGUCCUGAAAGAGGAGGAAGACAACAAAGACAUAUAACUAAACGCAAACACAUUGCCAUGGCGCCAAAGAAAUGAGAAAGAUCAGGGUGGGACCUGCCGUCUUUCCUGCAAUUGGGCUAGUUCAAGCUGUAUAGUCCUGGUUUUAUUUGAGGCCAUUUAAGCAUCAGGUGUCAACGAUUAACCUGGCUCAGUCCUAAAACUGCUGCUGACCUCCAAACCUGCUGCCUUCUGAUCUGAGACAAGGUUCCUUGUCUCUGAUGACACACCAUGCCCAGCUGCCACGCCGAUUAUUCUCCAGGGACAGAUGGCGACUCUCGAUGUGAGAGACACACAGAAGUGCCGAAGGAACAGUCUUACUGCCCCUCCUAGAAUACAAUUUUGCCUCAUUCAAAACAGUCACCGUUCACCCAACCUGAAAGGCCUGUAUGUGCGCUGAAAUGGACCAAAGUACCUUGUUUAGCAGCAAAUAAAUAACCUGAUGCUUCCUGGGUUGGCUGAUCGUGCAAUGCUACAGUUGCUGUCCUUCCCACAUGAUACCACCAGCUGUUCUGCUGAGACUGAUGUCAAAAAUUGUGGCUAAUUUCUGAUGUUUCUCACAGACUUUUUAGAUAUAGAAAUAAAAGAUACUCCACCUCAUAGAGGAAGACUUUGUGUUGCAUUAAG